ACAGGUGAGGCAAUGUUUAUAAAAAAGUGAUUUUAUUUUACGAGGUGCACAUAAAAACGACUAAUUUCAUUUUAUUGUGAUUGCAUUGAACAAUAUCAAUAAGGACAUGGAAGACGAACUAGAAGAUAGAGUUUUGUAUCAGACAUAUCUUUCUUUUAUAAAGAUUUUAUCCCGUUUCACAAGCAGUGUUCCCUUUGAUACUCCCGUGAGCUAUUUAUGGAAAAUGGUGCGUCUUUAUUUCCUACGGUCAGAAGUCCUAGUUUUUACACUCGGCGUGGUGAUUUUCCUCAUGUAUUUACAAACAAUAGAGUUAUGGAGUCGUACAUUGCUAAGCAGAUUAUCUCAGGCGAUGAACCCUAUGUCCGUGCAGCGUAUGAAAUUUUUAGAGAGUUCUGAAGCCGACAAGCAGAGCUGGGAAUUAAAGGGUACUCUUAGCGCUGCAUAUGCAAUAAAGGGUAGAAGAAUGCACAUGGAAGAUAGAUUUAUUAUCAAUGAAGACAUAAAUAGUACGGGUAUAUCACUAUUCGCAAUUUUUGAUGGGCAUGGUGGUGAAUUCGCUGCUAAUUACGCCAAAGAUCACUUAAUCCAAAAUCUUUUUAACAAGAUAAUUGAACUGAAUGCAUUUAAAGAUGGUAAAACAAUCAGCACUCCCAUAAAGGAGAGUCCAGAAGAACCAAAACCAAAAGAUCAUGAGAACAGUAUCAGUGUUGAAAGAAAAACUAGCUUUAAGAAGUCUGCAAGCACUGCCGAUGACACUUCUAAAAAAGAGAUAACAGAUCCUGACCUUUUAGCUCAGAUUUCAAAGUCGAAAAUUAUUACUAGGGAAGUCAGGCCAUCAAAACCUGUGAUUAAUGUUUCUAUUCCAUUGUCAAGCUAUUUAGACAAAGGUAAAAUAAAUUUUGGUAAGCUUUUAACAGAUGAGGUACUGGCUGCAGAUAGAUUGCUUGUGGAAGCAGCCAAACGAUCAAUGAAUGUAGCAGGAACAACUGCUCUUAUUGCAAUCAUGGAAGGGAAUCACUUGAUUGUCGCCAAUGUGGGAGAUUCCAGGGGGGUUAUGUGUGACUCUCGUGGUAACGCAAUACCGGUAUCUUUUGACCACAAACCUCAGCAGGUACGAGAACAGAAAAGGAUUGAAGCUGCUGGUGGGUAUAUAGCUUUCAAUGGAGUAUGGCGCGUAGCAGGCAUCUUGGCCACUUCUCGUGCCAUGGGUGACUACCCAUUAAAAGACAAGAAAUUUGUAAUAGCUGACCCUGACAUUCUCACUUUUAAUCUAGACGACCACAAACCCAUGUUCUUAGUUCUGGCAUCAGAUGGCCUCUGGGAUACUUUUUCAAAUGAAGAAGCUGUGAAAUUUAUCAAGGAACGAUUGGACGAACCUGACUAUGGCGCCAAAAGUUUGACCCUACAGGCUUACUACCGAGGAUCUGUUGAUAACAUCACAGUACUAGUAAUAAACUUUUUACAGAAUAGAAUUUCCUCUGCUGCUAUUUCUCAGUAACUAUUUGACAAGCCAUAUUGAUGUCCAUUAUUAUAUUCAAGUGUACAUGAUAAUUUCAGAAAUGAUUGAUGUAUAAUCAUUGUAAUGGAGAUUUUCUUUUACAAAUUUUGUAGAUCAUUUCAUUAUUUGUUAUAUGUUUAUAGAUCUUAAUAGCUACUGAUUUCUUAAGUAAAAGCGAGGCGCUGUACUGGCAUGUGAUAAUAAAAUAACAGCCAACAAAGUUGCCUAAAAUAACUAUUUAUGUACCUAUAGCGAUUUUGAAUAGUGCAGAACUUUAUUAACAUUUUUUCUGCAUUUCUUAUUCUAGUGUAAUUAAAUGUUGUAUUUGUUUAACAAAGUAUUUUGUAAUAUGUUUCAGUGUUUUCAGCAUUAUCUCAUUUAAAAUUUUAAUUGUAAAUGUAUAAGUACAUAAAAGUUGUAGUUGAAAUCAUAUAUGUAUAUCAUAAUAAAAAUUGGUGUGAAUUUUGAAUGUCUUGUAAAUAUUUAUAUGUACGUCCAGUAGGUAUCCAUGUGUAGACAAGAGUAAUUUAUAUUUUUGAAUGUCAAAAUAUUUUUGAAAUCUAAUAUUUGAAUUUAUGCAUGGUUGUGAUGUGGACACGCAUUUUUGCAGAAUAUGUUAUUAAGUGUUCACUGAUAUUUAAUAUACAUUUGGUUUUAAAUUUGUCGGCAUUUCUCUAUUUAUAACAUUUAUAUGAAAAUUUACAUGCAGAAUUUGGUCAUCAUAAUAUAUAAUCCUAUUGGAGUAAGAAUCCUGCUUGGGUGUCUGGGAUCUGGCUAAAGUAAUUUGAAACUAAAUAUAGAUCAUGCUUCAAGCUAUCGGCAAAUUCAUUUCAGCAUGUCUAUAACAUAUAGAUAAUAAUUUGAUUCUGCAAAAACUUAUUAUUAUUUAUAUUUAUAUAUAUUAUAUUACGCGAAUUUAUAUAUGACGCGAAUAAUAUGAAAUUUGUCAUUUGGCUAAUAAGAAGUACACGUGUUUUCUUUGGUAUUUUAGGUAUUUGUCUUGUGUACUAGUCAGUAAUUCUUGUUUUUAGAAUACAUUAGACAAUUACAUACAAAAUUAUUUGAUCUCUAACAAUUCAUGGUUAGUCAUUGACUUCUUUAGAAAACAAGAUAGGUAAUGCACAAGUAUCAUAUUUUUUUGUAAAAUAAAAUGAUAUUUACACCAUUUCAAUACUUGCUUCAUCAUAAGUACAACUAGAAAAUAGCCCGUAUUGUACACCGGCCUAAAUUAUUAGGAAACCAUCGUAUAUAAAUGGGGCCAAGUAAGAUAAAAUGUCUUAACAUAUUGCCAUCGGCCAAUUUUUUUUUCAAAAAUAUCUGUUUAUAGGCUAUGUUUUUUUAGUGCCAAAUUAAUGGGUAUAUAUGGCAUUAGAGUGAGCAUUAACCUUAUUAACUCUCAACAGACGAAAAUAAAUUAACUGAUUUUAUAACAGUUCUUUUUUAACUAUUUUUGUGAUAUUUUGUUAAGUACUAUUGUUUAUAUAGUAUUGUUUUCAACUAUCUAUAAAGUCUGGCCAGUAACUUGCCUUUACUUAUUUCUUGAUUCACCUAGAUGUCAUUUUAGGAGAACGUUGUUACCUUUUUGUCAAAUUACCAAAGCAUCAUUAUUGUCUUUAAUAAAUGGUAAUGUG
rnacentral:misc_RNA from 1 species